rnacentral:tRNA from 1 species
GGGGAUUUAGCUCAGUGGUAGAGCACUUGCCUAGCAAGCACAAGGCCCUGGGUUCGGUCCCCAGUUCCA